rnacentral:rRNA from 1 species
AUACGUAGGUGGCAAGCGUCGUCCGGAAUUAUUGGGCGUAAAGCGCAUGUAGGCGGUUUGGUAAGCCGGUCGUGAAAAUGCGGUGCUUCACGCCGGAUGGCGAUCGAAACCGUUGAACUUGCGUGCAGGCGAGGCAAGGGGAACUCCCAGUGUAGCGGUGAAAAGCGUAGGUAUUGGGAAAAACACCGGUGGCGAAGGCGCCUUUCUGGACUGUGUCUGACGCUCAGAUGCGAAAGCCAGGGUAGCGAACGGGAUUAGAUACCCCGGUAGUCCUGGCCGUAAACGAUGGGUACUAGGUGUGGGAGGUAUCGACUCCUUCCGUGCCGGAGUUAACGCAAUAAGUACCCCGCCUGGGGAGUACGGCCGCAAGGCUUAAACUCAAAUGAAUUGACGGGG